rnacentral:rRNA from 1 species
UUGUGCCAGCAGCCGCGGUAAUUCCAGCUCCAAUAGCGUAUAUUAAAGUUGUUGCGGUUAAAAAGCUCGUAGUUGGAUUUCUGUUGAGGACGACCGGUCCGCACUAUGUGCGUGUAUCUGGUUCGGCCUUGGCAUCCUUCUGGGGAACGGUGCUGCGCUUGAUUGCGUGGUCCGGUAUUCAGAACUUUUACUUUGAGGAAAUUAGAGUGUUUACGGCAGGCAAUCGCCUUGAAUACAUUAGCAUGGAAUAAUACUAUAGGACCUUGGUUCUAUUUUGUUGGUUUCUAGAACUAAGGUAAUGAUUAAUAGGGAUAAUUGGGGGCAUUCGUAUUAACACGUCAGAGGUGAAAUUCUUGGAUUGUGUUACGACGAACUACUGCGAAAGCAUUUGCCAAGGAUGUUUUCAUUAAUCAAGAACGAAAGUUAGAGGUUCGAAGGCGAUUAGAUACCGCCCUAGUUCUAACCAUAAACGAUGCCAGCUAGCGAUCUGCCGACGUUUUUUUUGUAGACUCGGCAGGAAGCUUCCGGGAAACCAAAGCAUUUGGGUUCCAGGGGAAGUAUGGUUGCAAAGCUGAAACUUAAAGGAAUUGACGGAAGGGCACCACCAGGAGUGGAGCCUGUGGCUUAAUUUGACUCAACACGGGAAAUCUCACCAGGCCCGGACACUGGAAGGAUUGACAGAUUGAUAGCUCUUUCUUGAUUCGGUGGGUGGUGGUGCAUGGCCGUUCUUAGUUGGUGGAGUGAUUUGUCUGGUUAAUUCCGAUAACGAACGAGACUCUGUCCUGCUAAAUAGUGUCUGCCUCUCUUUUGGGCGGACAAUUCUUCUUAGAGGGACUGGCGACUCUCAGUCGCACGAGAUUGAGCAAUAACAGGUCUGUGAUGCCCAA